rnacentral:rRNA from 1 species
UGGGGAAUAUUGCACAAUGGGCGCAAGCCUGAUGCAGCCAUGCCGCGUGUGUGAAGAAGGCCUUCGGGUUGUAAAGCACUUUCAGCGGGGAGGAAGGCGUUAAGGUUAAUAACCUUGGCGAUUGACGUUACCCGCAGAAGAAGCACCGGCUAACUCCGUGCCAGCAGCCGCGGUAAUACGGAGGGUGCAAGCGUUAAUCGGAAUUACUGGGCGUAAAGUGCACGCAGGCGGUCUGUCAAGUCGGAUGUGAAAUCCCCGGGCUCAACCUGGGAACUGCAUCUGAUACUGGCAAGCUUGAGUCUCGUAGAGGGGGGUAGAAUUCCAGGUGUAGCGGUGAAAUGCGUAGAGAUCUGGAGGAAUACCGGUGGCGAAGGCGGCCCCCUGGACAAAGACUGACGCUCAGGUGCGAAAGCGUGGGGAGCAAACAGG